UCUGGUGAUUUAAUUCAGGGGAAACACCUCUUCCCAUUCCGAACAGAGUAGUUAAGCCUUGAAUUACCGAUGGUACUGUGCGGGAAACUGUACGGCAGAGUAGGUUUCGCCAGUU
rnacentral:rRNA from 1 species